GACGAACGCUGGCGGCGUGCUUAACACAUGCAAGUCGAGCGGUAAGGCCCUUUCGGGGGUACGACGAGCGGCGAACGGGUGAGUAACACGUGGGUGACCUGCCCUUACGCUCUGGGAUAAGCCUGGGAAACUGGGUCUAAUACCGGAUAUGACUCCAUGACGCAUGUUGUGGGGUGGAAAGCCUUGUGCGGCUAGGGAUGGGCCCGCGGCCUAUCAGCUUGUUGGUGGGGGUGAGGCCGUACCAAGGCGACGACGGGUAGCCGGCCUGAGAGGGCGACCGGCCACACUGGGACUGAGACACGGCCCAGACUCCUACGGGAGGGCAGCAGUGGGGAAGUCUUGCGCAAUGGGCGAAAGCCUGACGCAGCGACGCCGCGUGGGGAGUGACGG
rnacentral:rRNA from 1 species